ACCUUCGGGCCUCUUGCCAUCGGAUGUGCCCAGAUGGGAUUAGCUAGUAGGUGGGGUAAAGGCUCACCUAGGCGACGAUCCCUAGCUGGUCUGAGAGGAUGACCAGCCACACUGGAACUGAGACACGGUCCAGACUCCUACGGGAGGCAGCAGUGGGGAAUAUUGCACAAUGGGCGCAAGCCUGAUGCAGCCAUGCCGCGUGUAUGAAGAAGGCCUUCGGGUUGUAAAGUACUUUCAGCGGGGAGGAAGGGAGUAAAGUUAAUACCUUUGCUCAUUGACGUUACCCGCAGAAGAAGCACCGGCUAACUCCGUGCCAGCAGCCGCGGUAAUACGGAGGGUGCAAGCGUUAAUCGGAAUUACUGGGCGUAAAGCGCACGCAGGCGGUUUGUUAAGUCAGAUGUGAAAUCCCCGGGCUCAACCUGGGAACUGCAUCUGAUACUGGCAAGCUUGAGUCUCGUAGAGGGGGGUAGAAUUCCAGGUGUAGCGGUGAAAUGCGUAGAGAUCUGGAGGAAUACCGGUG
rnacentral:rRNA from 1 species